GACGAACGCUGGCGGCGUGCUUAACACAUGCAAGUCGAACGGAAAGGCCCUGCUUUUGUGGGGUGCUCGAGGGGCGAACGGGUGAGUAACACGGGAGUAACCUGCGCGUGACUUUGGGAUAACGUCAGGAAACGGGGGCUAAUACCGGAUAGGAGCUCCUGCUGCAUGGGGGGGGUUGGAAAGUUUCGGCGGUUGGGGAUGGACUCGCGGCUUAGCAGCUUGUUGGUGGGGUAGUGGCUUACCAAGGCUUUGACGGGUAGCCGGCCUGAGAGGGUGACCGGCCACAUUGGGACUGAGAUACGGCCCAGACUCCUCCUGGACGCAACAGUGGGGAAUAUUGCACCAUGGGCGGAAGCCUGAUGCAGCAACGCCGCGUGCGGGAUGACGGCCUUCGGGUUGUAAACCGCUUUCGCCUGUGACGAAGCGUGAGUGACGGUAAUGGGUCAAGAAGCACCGGCUAACUACGUG
rnacentral:rRNA from 1 species